AUGGAGGAGGCUGGAAUCACAGGGGAGAGGCUGUGUAAUUUAGAUUCAUCAGUGAUUCUUUCCUGUUGGAGUCAAGAUGGCCUGUGGCAAGGCCACAUGGAAACUGCUACUGCUGUCAAAGGCUGGCUGGAGCAGUGCUGGCUGCUGAGAGGCAUAACCCUUCCAGAGCCAGCUACCUGCAAACAUGACUCUUUAUUCAGGGCGAGAAACAGUGCACACAUAGCAGAUCAAAAUGGAGACGAGAGUGACUAGAAGAGGCAAGGCCUGGAGAUAGGAAGAGUGGUGGCACAAUGACAUUUCUAAAAAUGGUUUUAAUCUAUUUGUGCAACUUGAGAGACUGUCACUAAAUGUUUCUUUUGUGUGGUGUAUCUGCACUGGCUAAUUGAAGAUAAAAGCCCUUAGAAGAGAAGGCUUUUAGUUGCAUGUUGAAAACCAGCAGCAGUGAAGAACUUUUUCAGAUAAGGGAGACAAUUAAUUUGACAUCUCCAGUUGUGACCUUAUUUUCUUCUUUAGCAUGCAGUGCUCAAAGAAAAGGCAGGGUUUGCUAGAAUUGCUUGAGAAGGUCUGUAUGUAUGCUUCUGAUGGUUGCAGCUGGACUUCACUUUUAAUUUUUUUUUUAAAUUCAUCAGUGUGAUGACUAGUUCUGUGCAUGCAGCUGCCCCUGAACAGCAAGGUUUUUUUAACCUGCUUAAGAGGCUGGAAGAAAUGCUGUGUAUGCAAUACUAUGCUGCGGAGUCUUAGGAACUCUUCAGACAAAAGCUUUUCUGUGUAAAGUAAGUUAUUACCAAAAAUACUGUAACGUUCCCAGUAUAAGGUUCUCAAAAAUUUAUUUAGGCAAAAGAAC
rnacentral:lncRNA from 1 species